GCCACGGUGGUCUAGCGGUUAGAACGCUGGCCUUGUAAUCCUGGGGUCUCGGGUUCGAUUCCCGAUCUAGGCA
rnacentral:tRNA from 1 species